CGUACAGUCAAGACCUGCGUCACGCAGCUCCGCGAAACUCCAACGUUUUUCUCCGUUGCUCCGUCGUUGAUGGUCGUCAGGAAGGGCUUACGAGGCGUGGACACAUUUCAGACACUGGUCCAACACGGCGUCAGGCGCUACUGCACAGCACCCUGGAACGAGUCGGUGACCUUGACAGCGCCACUGGCAGGGGACGGGUUGGCGGGGACGGCGAACCGUCUCACGGCCACCUGCCGCGAGAUCCCAGCUGUCGGCUGCACUGCUGCAAGGGCGGCGUAAUCCACACCACGCCCAGCUGGCGGGAGGCGGCGUCUCGACGAGACAGUGCCUGCUGAUGGCGACGUCGGUGUUCCUGGUCCGACAUCGGGACGUUCCACGUCUAGCCUGGGACGUCGGAGUUGGGUCCUUACACAGUCGUUGCGUAUGCGGUUAGUUCAAACACACUUUCAAGGCGCACUCACACGGGCGUCCUUAAUUAUAGCUCGGGCUUAACUCUCAAAUUUCACUUCUUUAAAACAACAAUGUCCUAUCUGUGCUUUCCAGUCGUAGCCUCGGGUCACCUCGAUCAUAACCAUUCAACCACAAAUAACCAUUUAAAAUACUAUGAAACGUACUUAAUUACAAUAAAAAAAAUAUAUUAUUACUAGGAGGGUUUAAUGUGUUUUGUUUAUAACUUAAACCUAUUAAUAUUUAAUUUACCAUGAUCCACAGGGUAAUCUGGUACCAUUAUUAUUGUACCGGUACUAACAUACAGUAGAUUCAUGCUAUAAAUAUUAGAUAAUAUUUCUUUUGUUUACAUAUUUGCUCAUAGACAUAGCAAUUAUUUUCAGUUAUUUUCUGGUAACAUAAGUAAUUUGAUUACAACUAAUUUCAGUAAUAGUGUGAUUACAGUUCAUAUUGCGCUAAAACUUAAUAAUAAUUGAUACUAUUUUAUCUCAAGUAUAACAAGUUGCCUUGAGUUUAAUUAUCAAACUAUUUAGUUACUAAUUAUAAUUUACUAAAGUAAAGGCUUAUUUACAUUUUGCUCUUGGGCUUAGAAAUUAUAUACAAGAAUAUUCUAACACAUCAUAUAUCAUUAUCAUUUACACAUUUCAUGUCACUAUGACUACAUAAAUAAUUGCAAUACCAUUAAAUGACUUAUUAUUACAACAAUAAUAGUUCAUUUCAUAAAAUUCAUUUCAUGUUAUUUCAUCUUAUAACAUAAUUGCUUAAAUUCAAAUGCUGCAGACUUGCAGACAAUAAUAGUGUAUUAAUAUGUUUUUGUACCAUCAGUACAUACUGUGUUUUCACAUAACACAUGUCUUGCAGUGUUCAAUAAUUUUUUUUUUUUCAUUUCACUGUUGAUGUGAAAUUAUAAUUUCAACAUAUUUGUCUGACUGAUUUCAUCACACUUUGUUGACACUUGUUACACACUUUGGCCACAGGCAACAACUGGGUAGCACAGAAAAUUAUUUACUCUUGCUCGCGACACCAGUGUUCCAUGUUCUGUAUCACAGCCAGAAGACUAGACCCCAACAAGUAGGUCGUUUGAAACUUCAAGAAAUGAUAACUUUCGUGUGACAACAACAAAAUUAGGGUGUGAAGUAUAUACAACCAUGUUGUAUUUCUUUUCAGUGGCAAAUUUAAAAUAAAUUAAGCUCCUGCUUAAUAUUCAAA